rnacentral:rRNA from 1 species
AGUGAACGCUGGCGGUAGGCCUAACACAUGCAAGUCGAACGGCAGCACAGUAAGAGCUUGCGCUUACGGGUGGCGAGUGGCGGACGGGUGAGGAAUACAUCGGAAUCUACUUUUUCGUGGGGGAUAACGCAGGGAAACUUACGCUAAUACCGCAUACGACCUACGGGUGAAAGCAGGGGAUCUUCGGACCUUGCGCGAUUGAAUGAGCCGAUGUCGGAUUAGCUAGUUGGCGGGGUAAAGGCCCACCAAGGCGACGAUCCGUAGCUGGUCUGAGAGGAUGAUCCGCCACACUGGAACUGAGACACGGUCCAGACUCCUACGGGAGGCAGCAGUGGGGAAUAUUGGACAAUGGGCGCAAGCCUGAUCCAGCCAUACCGCGUGGGUGAAGAAGGCCUUCGGGUUGUAAAGCCCUUUUGUUGGGAAAGAAGAGCAGCAGGUUAAUACCCCGCUGUUCUGACGGUACCCAAAGAAUAAGCACCGGCUAACUUCGUG